rnacentral:rRNA from 1 species
GACGUAGGGCGCGAGCGUUGUCCGGAUUUAUUGGGCGUAAAGAGCUCGUAGGCGGCUUGUCGCGUCGGUUGUGAAAUCCCGUGGCUCAACUGCGGGCGUGCUGCCGAUACGGGCAGGCUGGAGUUCGGUAGGGGAGACUGGAAUUCCUGGUGUAGCGGUGAAAUGCGCAGAUAUCAGGAGGAACACCGGUGGCGAAGGCGGCAUCCUGGACCGACACUGACACUGAGGAGCGAAAGCCAGGGGAGCAAACGGG